rnacentral:rRNA from 1 species
AACGUAGGGGGCGAGCGUUGUCCGGAAUUACUGGGCGUAAAGGGCGCGUAGGCGGUUAUUUAAGUCAGAGGUGAAAACUACCGGCUUAACCGGUAGCCUGCCUUUGAAACUGGAUGACUUGAGGGCAGGAGAGGGGAGUGGAAUUCCCAGUGUAGCGGUGAAAUGCGUAGAUAUUGGGAGGAACACCAGUGGCGAAGGCGGCUCUCUGGCCUGUUUCUGACGCUGAGGCGCGAAAGCGUGGGGAGCAAACGGG